GGCCUACAGGAUAGCUCAGUCAGUAGAGCAGUAGAGCAGGGUUGUGGGUUCAAGCCCCACUUGGGCCA